UACGGAGGAGGCAAGCGUUAUCCGGAAUUAUUGGGCGUAAAGCGUCCGCAGGUGGCGAUUCAAGUCUGCGGUCAAAGACUGGGGCUUAACCCUGGAAAGGCCGUGGAAACUGAAUAGCUAGAGUGCAGUAGGGGUAGAGGGAAUUCCCGGUGUAGCGGUGAAAUGCGUAGAGCUCGGGAAGAACAUCGGUGGCGAAAGCGCUCUGCUGGGCUGCAACUGACACUCAGGGACGAAAGCUAGGGGAGCGAAUGGG
rnacentral:rRNA from 1 species